GAUAAACGCUGGCGGCGUGCUUCAGGCAUGCAAGUCGAACGGGCGUCUACCUUCGGGUAGCCGCUAGUGGCGGACGGGUGAGUAACGCGUUAGCAACCUGCCCAAAAGUGGGGAAUAACUAACCGAAAGGUUAGCUAAUACCGCAUGUGAUAGCUGGUUCUAGGACCGGUUAUGAAAGGCUUCGGUCGCUUUUGGAGGGGCUUGCGUCAGAUUAGCUUGUUGGUGGGGUAAUGGCCUACCAAGGCGACGAUCUGUAGCUGGUCUGAGAGGACGAUCAGCCACACGGGGACUGAGAUACGGCCCCGA
rnacentral:rRNA from 1 species